rnacentral:rRNA from 1 species
CCUACGGGAGGCAGCAGUGGGGAAUAUUGGACAAUGGGGGAAACCCUGAUGCAGCGACGCCGCGUGAGUGAAGAAGGAUUUCGGUAUGUAAACCUCUAUCAGCAGGGAAGAAAAGGACGGUAUCUGACUAGAAAGCCCCGGAUAACUACGUGCCAGUAGACGCGGGAAAACGUAGGGGGCAAGCGUUAGCCGGAUGUACUGGGGGUAAAGGGGGCGUAGACGGCAGCGCAAGUAUGGUGUGAAAUCCGAUGGCUUAACCAUGGAACUGCAUUGGAAACUGUGCGGCUAGAGUGCAGGAGAGGUAGGCGGAAUUCCUAGUGUAGCGGUGAAAUGCGUAGAUAUUAGGAGGAACACCAGUGGCGAAGGCGGCUUACUGGACUGUAACUGACGUUGAGGCUCGAAAGCGUGGGGAGCAAACAGGAUUAGAUACCCCUGUAGUC